GGCCUUAGGAGGGUGGAAGGGCUGGGAAUGCUCACAAGUCUUACUGUUUGUGCUCAAGAGAUGCCUCGAGCCACGUUCUUCUACCUUGAACCCAUAGGGCCCGCCCUCCUUCUGCAUUCUCCCAGGGUCCCACCUUUCCUGUGCGGGCAAAGGCCUCGGCCACCUUUCGGUUCCGCCCUCCGUAGCAGGUAGUGAUGAGGUCAGCAACACCGCAGCUCUCCAGGAAGGUGUCACAGGACACAGGGCCGCUGCAGAAGAGCUUGGCAAAGGCGAUCAUCUCCAUGAGCCCCAGUCGGAUCACUGCUGCCUUGGUGUUGUCGCCAAAGCCCAGGCCGUCACAGAAGCCAGCCCCCACGGCCACUAUAUUCUUUGGAGAGUGGAGGUCACGGGUGAGGAAGGAUCCCCUCCUGCAGGCCCCUCGGCACCUGCCUCCUGCUCCUUCCUUCAGCCGUGACACACCACUGGAGAGAAAACAGUGGAGGGAGCAGAAGAUGAGACAAGCCAGAAGCUGGCACCUCAUACUACUGACAUCCAUCAGGGGUUCAGAUCCCUGCCUUUUUGUCUAUUUCCCACACCCAGGCACCUACCUUGGAGUAGAAGUAUCGGCACACGGCCUCCUGAGCCCAAGGCUGGAAGUAAAACUCAGCUCGGCGUUCUUCCUCUGGGUUACCCACCACAUCGGUCAUGGUCUGGGGGACAGGGAAGGGGGGAGAAAGAGGAGAAGGACUUGUUUCCCUCCUUCAUACCUGUUAUGGAUGAAUUGUAUCCCCCCAAAAGACGACAAAAUCCUAACCCCCCAGUACCUGUGAAUGUGACCUUAUUUGGAAAUAGGGUCUCUGCAGAUGAUCAAGUUAAGAUGAGGUCAUUAGGGUGGGCCUAAUCCAACAGGACUGGUGUCCUUAUAAAAAGGGGGAACUUGGACACAGAGACAGACAUGCACAGAGGGAAGAUGAUGUGAAGACACCUGGAGAACACCAUCUGCAAACCAAGGAAUGCCUGAGGCUAUCGCAAGCUGGGAGAGGGGCCUGGAAACACAUUCUCCCUCCCAACACCCUGACUUCAGACUUCCAGCCUCCAGAUAAAAAUAAAUUUCUCUUGUUAAGGCA